rnacentral:rRNA from 1 species
UAGGAUAGGUGGGAGGCUUUGAAGCGUGGACGCCAGUCUGCGUGGAGCCAACCUUGAAAUACCACCCUUUUAUGUUUGAUGUUCUAACGUUGGCCCCUGACCGGGGUUGCGGACAGUGUCUGGUGGGUAGUUUGACUGGGGCGGUCUCCUCCCAAAGCGUAACGGAGGAGCACGAAGGUUAGCUAAUCCUGGUCGGACAUCAGGAGGUUAGUGCAAUGGCAUAAGCUAGCUUGACUGCGAGCGUGACGGCGCGAGCAGGUGCGAAAGCAGGGCAUAGUGAUCCGGUGGUUCUGAAUGGAAGGGCCAUCGCUCAAC